GAUGAACGCUGGCGGCGUGCUUAACACAUGCAAGUCGAACGGUGAAGCCAAGCUUGCUUGGUGGAUCAGUGGCGAACGGGUGAGUAACACGUGAGCAACCUGCCCUGGACUCUGGGAUAAGCGCUGGAAACGGCGUCUAAUACUGGAUAUGAGACGUGAUCGCAUGGUCGUGUUUGGAAAGAUUUUUCGGUCUGGGAUGGGCUCGCGGCCUAUCAGCUUGUUGGUGAGGUAAUGGCUCACCAAGGCGUCGACGGGUAGCCGGCCUGAGAGGGUGACCGGCCACACUGGGACUGAGACACGGCCCAGACUCCUACGGGAGGCAGCAGUGGGGAAUAUUGCACAAUGGGCGGAAGCCUGAUGCAGCAACGCCGCGUGAGGGAUGACGGCCUUCGGGUUGUAAACCUCUUUUAGCAGGGAAGAAGCGAAAGUGACGGUACCUGCAGAAAAAGCGCCGGCUAACUACGUGCCAGCCGCCGCCGUAAAAC
rnacentral:rRNA from 1 species